rnacentral:rRNA from 1 species
AACGAACGCUGGCGGCAUGCCUAACACAUGCGAGUCGAACGAGACCUUCGGGUCUAGUGGCGCACGGGUGCGUAACGCGUGGGAACCUGCCCUUAGGUUCGGAAUAACUCCCCGAAAGGGGUGCUAAUACCGGAUAAUGUCUUCGGACCAAAGAUUUAUCGCCUUUGGAUGGGCCCGCGUUGGAUUAGCUAGUUGGUAGGGUAAAAGCCUACCAAGGCGACGAUCCAUAGCUGGUCUGAGAGGAUGAUCAGCCACACUGGGACUGAGACACGGCCCAGACUCCUACGGGAGGCAGCAGUGGGGAAUAUUGGACAAUGGGCGAAAGCCUGAGCCAGCAAUGCCGCGUGAGUGAUGAAGGCCUUAGGGUUGUAAAGCUCUUUUACCCGGGAUGAUAAUGACAGUACCGGGAGAAUAAGCUCCGGCUAACUCCG